AACAAAUGUUUUUCUGUAUGAUUUUUAAUACUCAAACUCCCCUUUCUUUGGGAUGGCACUUUCAUGCUGUAUGAAUUCACACAGGACAAUGUAUUCCACUCAAAUUCAGUGAAUUAUAGGGAAGAGAUGAAAGGUAAAACUGCAAGGGAAGUUUGUAUUUGAUUCUGAGGUUUGUGCAUAUUCCUAUUCCUCCAAAUUUAUAGAGUUAUAAGUAUAGUUUAUAAGUAUACUUGUAAAGUAAUAUUUUCGUAUUAGUGGAUAUAAUUCCAUACAAUCUUCAUUGUGUACUUCUGUAGAUAGUUGCUAUUAUACAAAAUGUUAAUUAUCUGUUCUCUAAACUGCUUCAAAGAUGGUGAGAGCAGUACCUUGUUCAAUCCCUGCUGGCACAAAUUCAAGAAAUUAGUGUAACAUUUUGCUUUCAAAAGAAAUAGCUGAAGUUCUGAUGUUGUGACUGAAAGAUGACACAAGGUGUAUAGUGGGAACAAAGGACUGACUAACAUCUUUUUAUGCAUGAGCUUCAUUGUUUGCCUUGCUCUGCGUAAUCCACUCAGUGUCAUUCUUGACUCCUCUCUAUUCACUUUUGCAGCUCAAUAAUCUUUCCAUUUUAUCAGCAAAAUCCAUCCUUUCACCCUUUAUAUCUAAAUGCUUGUGGGCAACUUUUCCUUUCUUUUGUUCUAUCUAAAAUUUGGAUACUUGAAACACCAUCUUCUCACUUGUCUAUCUUUUCAGCUGCUUCUUUUCCCAACAUCAUAUCUCUCAUCAAAUCAAAUCCUUUGCCACAUUAUCUAAUACAGACUCUUGUCUCAUGUAUAAAACUAAUAAAUUCUUUUUGUUCUUUUUUUCUUCCCAUUACUGGUUUGUUAUUUAUUGCUACUACUUUUCUUUCUCGUAACAUGCAGUCAUAGAUUUAUUUAUAAAUAUAUCUAUAUAUGUUUUGUAUAUUUACUGUGCAUUAUUUAUGUAUGUGUAUAUGUAUAUAUCAUUUACACGUUUUUAUAAUUGUAUUUAUAUAAUCUAAACAAAAUUAUGGCAUAGAAUGGCUCUAGAUGUUCUCUGACUAUACUAAAAGUAAAGGCAGCUUCAUGUAAGAGUUUUUUUUGCAUAUCUUCAUUAUAUGCACAUAAAGUGAGACAAAUACAAAAUUAAUAUGCAAUGGAACUGUGAACAAAUAGAGAUGAACAAUUUGAAGAUAGAAAGCACUAGAACCAUAGAAAUGAAUUCCGGUGAUUAUGUCCAUAUACUCUACUGCUAUCUUCCAAAGCAUUGCUAUUAAAUAUUUCCUAAGUUAAGGAAUGAUAAUCACUUGAUGAUAUAAUAUUAACUAAAACAGUCACUGUAUUUUAAAGCUGACAUAUGAUCUAUAUAAACCGUAGAAUGUGUAGAAUAUGAUAUGAAUGUAACUUUAAGCUCAAUAAAUUUAGUUAAGUGUGUUUUCUUACAUGGCUGUGGCCAAGGGGCUAAUAGCAUCCACAGGUCCAGAGAACACUAUGCACUUUAAUGCUGAUAAAGGAUUAUGUUGUAUAUUAUUUUUUCAUCUACAACAGUAAAACUUAAAUUCUAUUCAGGAAAAUGGUAAUUGAGAGUUGGUAUUCUUAGUGGGAAAACCUGUCCGUUUGUUACUGAAAGUUAUAAUGAUUAUUUCAUUCUCAUGCAUAUCUUCAAGCAUAUAUGUCUGUAUGUACUGUGAGUCUCUCAGCUUCAAAGGAAGGUUGAUCUCUUUUGUUGUUGCAUCUAAGUGGAGAAUGCUACAAAAGCAGUUACACUGGCAUAUAGUUAAAUCAUGGCUUUUCCUUCAGUCUGAUUUGUGACUGGAAAUCACUAGUGCAAGAUGGGAAGAUUUAAGUUGACAGCCUGGAUAUUGUACAGCAUUUUCAUCUGAAGCAGAGUGAACUCACCACAAAACGGUAACAUCUCUAAAGUUUGCACCAUCAUCUCAUCUGAAGCAUGAUGUACCAUAAAACACAUGGAGCAUUUCUGUCAAAAUUUUCAUGUAAACACUUGGAAUGAGACUGUACCUGGGCUCAGAAAUCUCCUCAUGUGGAAGAAGAAAAAGCAAAAAAAAUCUACUGCUGGAGCACUGACUGUGGCAAACAGAAGACACUGUGUAAUAGCUUCAGCUGCUCAGUGGUGUGGUGAUGAUAUCUUCUGUCUUAUUAUGGCUGCUUGGAUGCUUCAAAGAAAGAUCACCUUAAAGGUUUCUAAAACUGUAUCUUUUAUAGCAGAUGUGUGAAGGGAUGUGCAAAUCAAAGGGCUUCUGUCAUUUCUGGCUGAAGUCCAAACAUCUUGGAACAACUCAGCAGAGAGUUUGAAUUGCUCACUCCAUCAUCUAUAGUGGAAUAAGUCUAAUAAUCAGAAUUCUUCUGAAGUGAUCAAAAAUUUAUGCCUAGGCAGGCUUACAGUGUUAGAGAUGCAUACUAUGUAUUAGGAGUUAAAACAUCACAUUUGAGUAUUUCUGCCAAAAUUUUUGUCUGUUUCUGCUAUAAUUUCAGGAGAACUUGGUGGCAGCUAUUAAGGUUAGUGAGUUACUGUAAAUAAGUUGUUUGAGUACAUUUGCAUUGGAAGAAUAUUCAGUGAAAUUAGGGUCAGUGUUAUAGACAGUAGAACACUUUGGCAAAUCUAACAAGGAAUUUAAAAGUUAAUAAAGCAGAAAUGUAUGUAUCUCACCCUUAUGUCCCUAUAAUAAAUAAAUCUCAUCAUUUAAGAGAAAAUCUUCCAUUUGAACUAAAAGAAAUUGUAUUCAUUUGUUAAAGAAUUAUUGAUGUUUCUUGUGGAAAAACUGAUAACAAACUGGCAAGAGUUGCUGUAUUCAGAUAAAUCUUAGCCAAAUGUUUCUUUGACCAGUAUAUCCUUUCUACGGUUUGUGAAUGGCUUGACAGUCAAAGGCACAGUUUUCUUCCACUUCUCUUCAAAAAUAUUAUCUCUUUAUGUUCUUCAAAUAUCAAAGCACGGCUUUGUUGAAGUGGAGGAAAAUACUGCUUGCCUUGAUUGCAGCUGGGGAGAUCCUGACCAGAAAGGAAGAACAGAUAUUUGGCACAUAGCCUUUGAAAAUAUGAAAGGUGGGAACUGAGAGGAGGGCAGGCAGGCAGGUGGGAAAGGGCUGAGGCAUUAACAUCGCACUGCACAAGUGGAAGGAUGCUUCAUACCAAGCAGAACUUAACAGGAGGCUGCUGUGGUCUUUGCCUCCACUGUCCGUAGUAAAUUUGCACCUAGUGUGUAUUUUCUGUUACAUCAGCAUGCAAAUGUAAUGAACAAUAUUAAUAAGCUUCAAAGGUCAUCCUCCUCUCUACUUAUGACAAGAACUGUUUCAUCAAUUGUCCAUUCGGUUAUAGCAGCCUCCACAGAUUAUUCAGGCAAGGAAAAUAAUUUUUUUUUUCAUUUGUGUUUUUGGAUUUAUCUGCCCACUCCUCUGUCCAAGUUUCAUAACACACUGGGGCAAGAAUUCAACAUCUGAAUUACAGGAAAAUUAAGCAUGCAGUCCUGUUUUUGUUUCUGCUAUGUGUGUGUGGUUUUUUUUUUUAAUGUAAUGCAUAAUCACAUCAUUAAAUAAGAUUUGAUAGUAUUAAUGUCAGGCAUCCCCUAUGAGACCUUUUGCUUUUCAAGUUGCCUUCGAUACCAAUAAAAAUACUCUAGCAAACACUUGCUAAAAUGUAAUUUUCAUGUGCUUACUUCUGCAUUUCAAACCCAAACAUGACAAGCAGUUUCCUUUCAGCAUUAGUAUCUGUUCUGGGUUUAUUUACAAUCUGUUGAGAACAACAACAACAAAAAAUUCAGUGUGAGUUUCUUUAUCUUAAAUAGUGGACAACAGAGCUAAUAUCUAAAACUAUCUAUUAGCAUGUCAGUUGAAGUGAUAUCAUACUCCCCCAGAAUAGUAGGUCUACUUUGAACAAGACUGUGAUUUAUGAUUCAGAAUCUCAAUAACUAUCUUUCUAAGCCAGUAAAGAUGACAUCUGGGUAGAACAGAUCUAGACCUAUUCAAACCACAUAGAUUUUACUAUUUAUAAAUUCAAAUUAUCUGUUUUCAACAUUGAAAGAGUGUUUCAGAAUGACUAAAAGGAACUGAUCAAUAGUGUACAACAGGCUAACUUAACCACAGGCUUCAUUGGCAACAUGCAAGAGAGAAUUUCUAAAUGUAGCAAUUUAGAAAACUGGUGGUUAGCCUUUGUUCAUCUUGUAUUUGGUGUGAACUAGGAAAUAAACUCAGCUAAAUAUAAAUGAUAGCUCUUAUAUGGCAGUUCCCUAUAAAUUUUUUUAAUAUUAAUCAUUAUAUUCCUGUAAAAAAUAAGAACUGUAAAGGCACUUGAAUUUAGAUUUUUAGUUGAAGCUUUAAGAGCUGUGGGUUUUGUCACAUACAGAAUUAAAAAAGGCAACAGAAGUCUCCUUGCACGCUGGAAGUCAGCUUGAUUAAAACUGAAGCUGCAGAAGCCAAAAGGGCAAAACUUUCACUGACUUCAACUGUGAAGAGAAAAAUACCCAGGAAGAACUUUUCGAUGCUAUUGCAAAUAUGGCACAAAUGUAGGAAUUGCAUGACCUGAGAUCUGGCUUAGAUUAUUUGAGAGUUUUCUUUUUCCUCUGUUUUUUUACUUGACUACACCCCAGAAUUCCUGUUCAUCUCAUUUUAAUGUGCUUGCCACAGCGUUCUCCCCACCCCCCCUCCAAAAAAAAAAAAAUACAAACUUUGGUGACGUGUACAGUGUGAUCAACUUCUGAAGUUUAAGUAGAAGUAGCAUUUCAUAAUAGGUGAACUGAAAAAACUUGCACUGAAUUUACUAAUACAAACUGUUGACUCAUUCUAUUAGCUUUGCAUGGGGCUUAGCUAUUGAAUCAAACUGCAUACGCCGCUGUGCUAAGAAGCUUGAAGUGUCUCGUUGACCAUUGCUUUUCAGGAGAGGGAAGCUGCCUCACUGAAAUCAACCACUGUCUUCAGUAAGGACAGAUUUUUCUUCUGGAAGAGUCAUAGUCAUUUCCAGAAGUGAUGAAUAAUGUAGUACUGUAAUACUUUUUUUUUUUUUUUUUUGUCAGUAAAUGGACACUUAGUGUACAUAAUUGUAUUUCCUUAGUAUUGUUUAUCUUAAGCUCAAGAUGUGUAAUUCAUUUAGUGUUUUAUAAAUUGUUCUUUUGAAAUUGUGCCAGAUAUUAGAACAAAAAUUGGAAUGACCAUAGUAUUAUUCUUUAAUAUGGAGCACACAUAUAAACAGAAAGAACUGACUUGAAAUAAUUCAGACUUAUUAUAAAUAAGCACUGAAAAGUGCAGAUGUGAAAAAUAUAACUAUAUGAUUAAUUAUCCAGAAAAAUAAAGUGAACGCAUGCUAUAAACAAAUUAAAUGCAAACUUGCUCAUAGAAAAAGCAUGUUUUCUCUGUCCAAAACUAGAUUUAAUUUCUACUGAUAAUUAGAAACUCUGCUAAUAAUAAUACUGAACACUAAAUAUUCCUAUAAAAUAUUUAAUUUAGGAUAAGAUUUGAAAUACAGGGAGCUGCAAAUACUUCUUAUUUCUUUUAGUAGCGUGUGCUUCAGCAGUUUUCAGAUAUGCUGUCUUCUAGAAUGCUAUAUCUUCUAGAUGGCACCAGCCUUGUGAUACUUCUGAUCUAUUUUGGUUUUGAAACCUUUCCAGGUUAUUUGGAGUAUUUACAUCUCUUGCACCAAAUGUAAAUGAACUUACUACAUGAUCAAAUUUCAUCAGAAUAAUAAAUUAUCCUAGUUUAUUCCUUAUGCUGUAAGCAUGCAUCCUUGAGACUUUCAAUGUGUAGUUUAUGGAAAAUACUGCUUUUAAUUAAAAAGAAAUUUAAUUACACCAAAGGUUCUGUGUGUCACGCUCAUUGAGUACUAGACCUUGUCACUAGGUUAAUGGUAAAAAUAGAAUAAGGUCAAUUAAAUGUUUAUAAGGUAGGUUUUUAUUUUAAAAGCCAAGUGAAUGUAAGUUUUUUUUAUUAUUCUCAGAAAUCUUGUUUGUUGCAUCAAUCCAAGGAUGCUAUGGUCAGUUCAUCGGUGCGUGUUCUGUGCACAACAUAUUGUAUCUCCUUUUCCUUCUUUGUAGGUUCGCUACUCAAGGAGACCUUUGAGUAACCAGUAAUUUAGUGCAUGUCUACCAACGUGAAAGAGGAUCUCAAACUACUUUAGGCACUCACUUUUGUUGUUUUUUUAUGUUCACAGUAAUAUCCAUAGAACAUGCUCAUUAUAAAUAAUAGAACGGUAUUGCGUAUUUUAUUUUAAUUACAAUCGUAUUUAU
ensembl:lncRNA